ensembl:lncRNA
AAUGCUUACAAAGUGAAUGUAGCUGCAGGAAACACAUGGCUGAGAAAGAGUCCAGCACUCUACAACAUACCCCCAGAGCCCAGAAACCCCUGCAUGGCCCUUAAUUAGUCACGACCUCCCAUCCAGUAAUCACAAUGCUGAUUUCUGAAAGCACGUAUCAGUUUCAUCAGUCUUUGUAUUUUAUAUAACAUGGAGUCUGCACUCUCUUGUGAUGGGAUUUUUAAGUCAACAUCUAUGUUUGAUUACCAGGAACAAAGCUGCCAAGAGCAUUCUUUUCCAUGUCUUGUUGAUGGAUGGAAGUAGGGGUUUCUUUUGGAUCUUUACCUAAACAUGAGAUCGUGGGGUCAUACAUAGGCUAAGAAUAGAUGCAGCUUUACCACCAAAUUUGGAUUUGUCACGUUUUUCUAAGCAGAGCCAGGGGCAGGGAAUUGUAUUAAUUAAGGACACUUUGAUUUGUUCUCAAGCACCAAAAAAUACAGCUUUGAUCAACUUGGGGUGGGGUGGGGGGAGUAUUAUUGUCUAUUGACUAAAGCAGAGGUCCAGAAUUGGGACGCCUCUAAGAAUGAGAGCAAUUUGGGUGCCCAGGGACUCGUGGCUGGCAGACAAGUGUUCCAGCUCUGGAAUCCUUUCACAGCUUUAUUCCCUACUGCACAUGGGCUUUCUCUACGCAGUGGAGAACUGGCUGCUGGCAGUCCCUGGUUUCUCAGCAACAGGUUAGUAGGUGACAGUCCAGUGACACUGUAAGAAAGGGAAGGCGUCUCUCCCCCUAGCUUCAGAAUACAAAAGAAAAAAAAAUUGGUGAGGGGCUUCCCUGUUGACUCAGUGGUAAAGAUCCUGCCUGCCAAUGGCAGGAGACACGGGUUCCAUCCCUGAGCCGGGAAGAAUCCCACAUCCCAUGCACCACAGCUAUUGAGCCUGUGCUCUGAAGCUCGGGAGCCGCAAUCUCUAAACCCACCUGCCAGGGCUCCGGAGGCCCGCCGGCCCUGGAGGCCCUGCUGGCAACCGGAGAAGCACCAGCAGGAGAAGCCCGCAACUAGGGAGGAGCCUCCUGCUCCCGGCGACUAGAGACAAGCCCACGCAGCAACCAUAGACCCAGCACAGCCAAAACCAAACAAAUAAAAUAAAAAAAAACCAAAACACAUUUGGGGGAAGGUCACUGGUAAACCUACCCCUGACCAAGCACUGGGGUCAACAGAAAAGGGGGUGACGUGGUGGGACCAGGAUGGAUCCAUGAGGUCCCAGGGGUUGAGUGCCAGUUUUAAAGAGUCACAUGAUAAGUAGGGGAGGAGGAGGUACCCCCAGAAAAUCCACAGCAGAUAAACAGGGAAAGCGACGCCAAACAGGUGAAAUGAAAGGAGCCCCCUAGACUGUGGAAGGCGACGGCCACCUCGCCAAAGCUCGACUGAGGCUUUAAAACACCCCAACGUAGAGACAAUUAGCCCCAUUUUAACUGACGAGAGAACAAAAAACUUACUUCCAAGAGUGAGCAGUCGAGUGAUGCGACCCCAGCCCUUCGUUGGUUGAAAAUGCCCAGAAUAUGAGCUCUUAAAACCCUGUGGCGUCGCUUCUUCCGACGGGAUGAAGGUGGGCAGAGAGUAGAAAUUUAAGGCUUUGAAUAGUCCUUCUUUUAAAGCCUCGGGCACUGCUGGCAUUUGGAAAUUGCCGGUGCCUUCACGGGAAAGGCCCCCGGCUGUGGCUGCCUCCCGCGUUUUUUGCCGUCAACGUCUUUGCAGCAAUAAUUAUGCCGCAUAAUUAGCUGGCGUAAGGCGAUUUUNNNNNNNNNNNNNNNNNNNNNNNNNNNNNNNNNNNCAGAAAACGAAUCACGACAGUCGAUGAUGAUUUGCCCCAAGUGUUAAAUUUCUUCUUUUCAAACACAUUACGUUGGAGGAGAAGGAGGCCAAGGGCCUGGAAGGAAGGUGCAGGCUGGGACUCACGUCUCCCACAGAACUCUGGAACUUCUAUCAGUGGACCUGUGACAACAUACCAGUAGAGCACACAGCAGUGUAGGAGGCUUUCACUACCCAGUACAGAGCUCAGUGACAAAUAUGCAUCCUAGAAUUUGAAAGUGAUCAUCAGGACCUUUUAAUGAAGCAAGACACUUUAUGAA